GAUGAACGCUGACAGAAUGCUUAACACAUGCAAGUCAACUGUGGCGGACGUGUGAGUAACGCGUAAAGAACUUGCCUCACAGCUAGGGACAACAUUUGGAAACGAAUGCUAAUACCUGAUACUGUGAGAGAGCUUUGCGUCCCAUUAGCUAGUUGGAGAGGUAACGGCCCACCAAGGCGAUGCUGGGUAGCCGGACUGAGAGGGUGAUCGGCCACAAGGGGACUGGGGAACGGCCCUUACUCCUACGUGAGGCAGCAGUGGGGAAUAUUGGAAAAUGGACCAAAGUCUGAUCCAGCAAUUCUGUGUGCAAGAUGAAGUUUUCGGAAUGAAAAGUGCUUUCAGUUGGGAAGCGGUACCAACAGAAGAAGUGACGGCUAAAUACGUGCCAGCAGCCGCGGUAAUUC
rnacentral:rRNA from 1 species